rnacentral:rRNA from 1 species
GGGUUGUGAGGUUAAGCGACUAAGCGUACACGGUGGAUGCCCUGGCAGUCAGAGGCGAUGAAGGGCGUGCUAAUCUGCGAUAAGCGCCGGUAAGGUGAUAUGAACCGUUAUAACCGGCGAUACCCGAAUGGGGAAACCCAGUGUGAUUCGUCACACUAUCAUUAACUGAAUCCAUAGGUUAAUGAGGCGAACCGGGGGAACUGAAACAUCUAAGUACCCCGAGGAAAAGAAAUCAACCGAGAUUCCCCCAGUAGCGGCGAGCGAACGGGGAGGAGCCCAGAGCCUGAAUCAGCAUGUGUGUUAGUGGAAGCGUCUGGAAAGGCGCGCGAUACAGGGUGACAGCCCCGUACACAAAAGCGCAUGUGCUGUGAGCUCGAUGAGUAGGGCGGGACACGUGGUAUCCUGUCUGAAUAUGGGGGGACCAUCCUCCAAGGCUAAAUACUCCUGACUGACCGAUAGUGAACCAGUACCGUGAGGGAAAGGCGAAAAGAACCCCGGCGAGGGGAGUGAAAAAGAACCUGAAACCGUGUACGUACAAGCAGUGGGAGCACAGGUUUACCUGUGUGACUGCGUACCUUUUGUAUAAUGGGUCAGCGACUUAUAUUCUGUAGCAAGGUUAACCGCAUAGGGGAGCCGGAGGGAAACCGAGUCUUAAUUGGGCGUUAAGUUGCAGGGUAUAGACCCGAAACCCGGUGAUCUAGCCAUGGGCAGGUUGAAGGUUGGGUAACACUAACUGGAGGACCGAACCGACUAAUGUUGAAAAAUUAGCGGAUGACCUGUGGCUGGGGGUGAAAGGCCAAUCAAACCGGGAGAUAGCUGGUUCUCCCCGAAAGCUAUUUAGGUAGCGCCUCGUGAAUUCAUCUCCGGGGGUAGAGCACUGUUUCGGCUAGGGGGCCAUCCCGGCUUACCAACCCGAUGCAAACUGCGAAUACCGGAGAAUGUUAUCACGGGAGACACACGGCGGGUGCUAACGUCCGUCGUGAAGAGGGAAACAACCCAGACCGCCAGCUAAGGUCCCAAAGUCAUGGUUAAGUGGGAAACGAUGUGGGAAGGCCCAGACAGCCAGGAUGUUGGCUUAGAAGCAGCCAUCAUUUAAAGAAAGCGUAAUAGCUCACUGGUCGAGUCGGCCUGCGCGGAAGAUGUAACGGGGCUAAACCAUGCACCGAAGCUGCGGCAGCGAACGUAUCACUUAAAGCGAUUCAGCGGGUUACGAUUGACGGAGCGAAGCGACGUCAAAGCGUAUACAAAGUCGAGUCGGUUUAAGGAUACGUUCGUUGGGUAGGGGAGCGUUCUGUAAGCCUGUGAAGGUGGCCUGUGAGGGUUGCUGGAGGUAUCAGAAGUGCGAAUGCUGACAUAAGUAACGAUAAAGCGGGUGAAAAGCCCGCUCGCCGGAAGACCAAGGGUUCCUGUCCAACGUUAAUCGGGGCAGGGUGAGUCGACCCCUAAGGCGAGGCCGAAAGGCGUAGUCGAUGGGAAACGGGUUAAUAUUCCCGUACUUGGUGUUACUGCGAAGGGGGGACGGAGAAGGCUAUGUUGGCCGGGCGACGGUUGUCCCGGUUUAAGCGUGUAGGUGUGUGUUCCAGGUAAAUCCGGUUCACUUUAACACUGAGGCGUGACGACGAGGCACUACGGUGCUGAAGCAACAAAUGCCCUGCUUCCAGGAAAAGCCUCUAAGCAUCAGGUAACAUCAAAUCGUACCCCAAACCGACACAGGUGGUCAGGUAGAGAAUACCAAGGCGCUUGAGAGAACUCGGGUGAAGGAACUAGGCAAAAUGGUGCCGUAACUUCGGGAGAAGGCACGCUGACACGUAGGUGAAGUGAUUUACUCAUGGAGCUGAAGUCAGUCGAAGAUACCAGCUGGCUGCAACUGUUUAUUAAAAACACAGCACUGUGCAAACACGAAAGUGGACGUAUACGGUGUGACGCCUGCCCGGUGCCGGAAGGUUAAUUGAUGGGGUCAGCGCAAGCGAAGCUCCUGAUCGAAGCCCCGGUAAACGGCGGCCGUAACUAUAACGGUCCUAAGGUAGCGAAAUUCCUUGUCGGGUAAGUUCCGACCUGCACGAAUGGCGUAAUGAUGGCCAGGCUGUCUCCACCCGAGACUCAGUGAAAUUGAACUCGCUGUGAAGAUGCAGUGUACCCGCGGCAAGACGGAAAGACCCCGUGAACCUUUACUAUAGCUUGACACUGAACAUUGAGCCUUGAUGUGUAGGAUAGGUGGGAGGCUUUGAAGCGUGGACGCCAGUCUGCGUGGAGCCGACCUUGAAAUACCACCCUUUAAUGUUUGAUGUUCUAACGUGGACCCGUAAUCCGGGUUGCGGACAGUGUCUGGUGGGUAGUUUGACUGGGGCGGUCUCCUCCUAAAGAGUAACGGAGGAGCACGAAGGUUGGCUAAUCCUGGUCGGACAUCAGGAGGUUAGUGCAAUGGCAUAAGCCAGCUUGACUGCGAGCGUGACGGCGCGAGCAGGUGCGAAAGCAGGUCAUAGUGAUCCGGUGGUUCUGAAUGGAAGGGCCAUCGCUCAACGGAUAAAAGGUACUCCGGGGAUAACAGGCUGAUACCGCCCAAGAGUUCAUAUCGACGGCGGUGUUUGGCACCUCGAUGUCGGCUCAUCACAUCCUGGGGCUGAAGUAGGUCCCAAGGGUAUGGCUGUUCGCCAUUUAAAGUGGUACGCGAGCUGGGUUUAGAACGUCGUGAGACAGUUCGGUCCCUAUCUGCCGUGGGCGCUGGAGAACUGAGGGGGGCUGCUCCUAGUACGAGAGGACCGGAGUGGACGCAUCACUGGUGUUCGGGUUGUCAUGCCAAUGGCACUGCCCGGUAGCUAAAUGCGGAAGAGAUAAGUGCUGAAAGCAUCUAAGCACGAAACUUGCCCCGAGAUGAGUUCUCCCUGAGACUUUAGGUCUCCUGAAGGAACGUUGAAGACGACGACGUUGAUAGGCCGGGUGUGUAAGCGCAGCGAUGCGUUGAGCUAACCGGUACUAAUGAACCGUGAGGCUUAACCUUACAACGCCGAAG